GACGUAGGGCGCGAGCGUUGUCCGGAUUUAUUGGGCGUAAAGAGCUCGUAGGCGGCUUGUCGCGUCGGACUGUGAAAACCCGCGGCUCAACCGCGGGCCUGCAGCCGAUACGGGCAGGCUAGAGUUCGGUAGGGGAGACUGGAAUUCCGUGGUGUAGCGGUGAAAUGCGCAGAUAUCGGGAGGAGCACCAUGGCGAAGGCAGCUCGCUGGGACGUUACUGACGCUGAGACGCGAAGCGUGGGGAGCAAACAGG
rnacentral:rRNA from 1 species